rnacentral:lncRNA from 1 species
UAUAUAUGCGAAUUUGAUUGUUUCUUUUUAUUUCAGCUCACUUGUCUAUCGAUAAUAAAAUAAAAAUAAAAAAAUUCUUUUUAAUUAGUGCUGCUGGAAUAGCCAAACCAAGACAUAGAUUUUUAGUUUUUAUAUUAAAACAUAACAUACGUUUGUGUCUAAAAUUGGCUAAGCGAUAUAGUCAUCUCUUAGUUUCUAAAGAUGCAGUUAAGAGGAGAUUUUAUGACGCAAAUAAUCAUUUGGAAGAAAUCGACAAAAGAUAUGAAAAUUUGAAGGAAAAUGUAAGGGAAUAAAGCUAGCGCAUUUUUUUUUCUUUUACAUAUUUAAGUUUGUAUGCAUGUACAUGGUGUAGUUAUAUAUAUAUAUAUAUAUAUAUAUAUACAUAUAUAUAUGUGUGCGUUUAUGCUGCAUAUAUGUACGUUUAUAGAAGCUGACAAAUACAUUAAUGAUUUAAAAAAUUAGUUUGGUAAAGUAAAACUUUCUAUCUUUUUAUCGUUUAUUUAUUUAUUUGUUUUUUUCAUUAUUCGAUAUUAAAUCAUUUUUUUAUUUAUCUUUUGAUA